CAACUCGAGAUAACGAUGCACUGUGAUAAUUUCAAAACAACCGUGGCAAAAGAAAAGGAACACACGUUGGCGCAAAAGCUCAGCGGUUCAACGCCGAUUACCCCGAGGAUUCAGCCAAGCAACGUCGCACCGAUUACAUUAACAAGUGCGGAGCAGCAGCGGCAAGUGAGCGAGCAGACGGCAGUGACAACACGAGCGUACAACUUUCAUGACCGCUCGCUCUGGCGCGCGGGGGUGAUAUGGAGCAGUGCCGUCACAUGGUACAACUUAUAUAGCCUUGGCGAGCCAGUCGCGCCAGCUACCCUCCACUCAUUCUUUCCCGAGGCAAUAGUACCAGACAGUCGCUUAAGAAGCAGUAGGGCUCAAGAUAAUUGAAGUUAUUAUCUUGGUGGGAAAUGAGAAUAGCUAAGCAUAUUGAAGAUGCCAUAUUAUAUAAGGAAAGAGAGAGAGAGAGAGAGAGAGAGAGAGAGAGUAAGAGAGAAGAGAGACAAAAGGAAUAGACAAUGCGGUACGUCGCAAGUAGUUGGAGGGGAUGGUCAGCCACGUCGUCUACGGUCGGCUAGGUGUUUUUUAAUAUCUGUCUACGGACGGUACCGUGUCUGUUAAGUUGUCUGCCCGCCGGAUUAUAAUGAUUUUUGUGGCUAUGUGCACUUAUAUUGCGACCAUUGCGGCGCCCUGCAAUCGAACUGCUACAUCGCUUAUCUUCACCACUACAUACUUUUGGCGAUCCUCGUUAUACUUUUAUAUAUAAUCUAUUACUAUAUUACUGUCUGGCAUACAAGAUAAGGUGACCUAUCCACUGUCUUCUAGGUAAUUGCCGAAAAAUUGCAUGUCUUUUUUGUUCUAACGAGUCUUUUGAGAAUUAUGAGGUUUUAAAUGUUUCUGUCUAGUUGAUGAAAUUAUUGUUAAAUAAGCCACCACAUUGUGGUUAUAUGAUCCCGUUGAUAUAUUAAUUAUUGAUUUAUUUUUAUAAUGCGAAGAAGAAUGAUGUUUUUAAAUAAAAAUUACAAUUAAUCGAUGUUUAACAAAACUAAUCCACUCAACACAAAUUGUAAUAAUGUAA